rnacentral:rRNA from 1 species
AACCCUUGUCAUUAGUUGCUACAUUCAGUUGGGCACUCUAAGUGAGACGUGCCGGUGACAAGCCGGAGGAAGGUGGGGAUGACGUCAAGUCCUCAUGGCCCUUAUAGGUGGGGCUACACACGUCAUACAAUGGCUGGUACAAAGGGUUGCCAACCGCGAGGGGGAGCCAAUCCCAUAAAGCCAGUCGUAGUCCGGAUCGUAGUCUGCAACUCGACUACGUGAAGUCGGAAUCGCUAGUAAUCGUGGAUCAGAAUGUCACGGUGAAUACGUUCCCGGGUCUU